rnacentral:rRNA from 1 species
UGCUGUGAACUCGAAGAGUAGGGCGGGACACGUGGUAUCCUGUCUGAAUAUGGGGGGACCAUCCUCCAAGGCUAAAUACUCCUGACUGACCGAUAGUGAACCAGUACCGUGAGGGAAAGGCGAAAAGAACCCCGGCGAGGGGAGUGAAAAAGAACCUGAAACCGUGUACGUACAAGCAGUGGGAGCACCUUCGGGUGUGACUGCGUACCUUUUGUAUAAUGGGUCAGCGACUUAUAUUCUGUAGCAAGGUUAACCGUAUAGGGGAGCCGAAGGGAAACCGAGUCUUAACUGGGCGUUAAGUUGCAGGGUAUAGACCCGAAACCCGGUGAUCUAGCCAUGGGCAGGUUGAAGGUUGGGUAACACUAACUGGAGGACCGAACCGACUAAUGUUGAAAAAUUAGCGGAUGACCUGUGGCUGGGGGUGAAAGGCCAAUCAAACCGGGAGAUAGCUGGUUCUCCCCGAAAGCUAUUUAGGUAGCGCCUCGUGAACUCAUCUUCGGGGGUAGAGCACUGUUUCGGCUAGGGGGCCAUCCCGGCUUACCAACCCGAUGCAAACUACGAAUACCGAAGAAUGUUAUCACGGGAGACACACGGCGGGUGCUAACGUCCGUCGUGAAGAGGGAAACAACCCAGACCGCCAGCUAAGGUCCCAAAGUCAUGGUUAAGUGGGAAACGAUGUGGGAAGGCACAGACAGCCAGGAUGUUGGCUUAGAAGCAGCCAUCAUUUAAAGAAAGCGUAAUAGCUCACUGGUCGAGUCGGCCUGCGCGGAAGAUGUAACGGGGCUAAACCAUG